rnacentral:rRNA from 1 species
UACGAAGGUCCCGAGCGUUGUUCGGAAUCACUGGGCGUAAAGGGAGCGUAGGCGGCGCGGUCAGUCAGAUGUGAAAUCCCGGGGCUCAACCCCGGAACUGCAUCCGAUACUGCCGUGCUAGAGGAUUGGAGAGGUAGCUGGAAUUCUUGGUGUAGCAGUGAAAUGCGUGGAUAUCAAGAGGAACACUCGUGGCGAAAGCGAGCUACUGGACAACUCCUGACGCUGAGGCUCGAAGGCCAGGGUAGCGAAAGGG